rnacentral:sRNA from 1 species
UUGAGCGGAACCCGGGCGAGAACCGCGAAGUCCUGUCGCAACGUCCGGGUGACCAACAUCCUGUUGG